rnacentral:misc_RNA from 1 species
UGUGCAUACUGCUUCUUAGGGCA